rnacentral:rRNA from 1 species
UACGAAGGGGGCGAGCGUUGUUCGGAAUUAUUGGGCGUAAAGGGCUCGUAGGCGGUUUGUCGCGUCGGGAGUGAAAACCCGCGGCUCAACUGCGGGCUUGCGGUUGAUACGGGCAGGCUGGAGUUCGGUAGGGGAGACUGGAAUUCCUGGUGUAGCGGUGAAAUGCGCAGAUAUCGGGAGGAACACCUAUGGCGAAGGCAGCUCGCUGGGACGUUACUGACGCUGAGACGCGAAAGCGUGGGGAGCAAACAGG